UACGUACUGUGCGAACGUUAUUCGGAAUCACUGGGCUUAAAGGGUGCGUAGGCGGUCAUUUAAGUAGGGUGUGAAAUCCCCCGGCUCAACCGGGGAACUGCGCUCUAAACUGGAUGGCUUGAGUAAGAUAGGGGUGUGCGGAACUUCCGGUGGAGCGGUGAAAUGUGUUGAUAUCGGAAGGAACACCAGUAGCGAAAGCGGCACACUGGGUCUUAACUGACGCUGAGGCACGAAAGCGUGGGGAGCAAAAGGG
rnacentral:misc_RNA from 1 species